rnacentral:rRNA from 1 species
UGGCGAACGGGUGAGUAAUAUAUCGGAACGUGCCCAGUCGUGGGGGAUAACGUAGAGAAAUUUACGCUAAUACCGCAUACGAUCUAAGGAUGAAAGCGGGGGACUCGCAAGAGCCUCGCGCGAUUGGAGCGGCUGAUAUCAGAUUAGGUUGUUGGUGAGGUAAAAGCUCACCAAGCCGACGAUCUGUAGCUGGUUUGAGAGAACGACCAGCCACACUGGGACUGAGACACGGCCCAGACUCCUACGGGAGGCAGCAGUGGGGAAUUUUGGACAAUGGGCGAAAGCCUGAUCCAGCAAUGCCGCGUGUGGGAAGAAGGCCUUCGGGUUGUAAACCACUUUUGUACGGAACGAAACGGUCUGCCUUAAUACGGUGGGCUAAUGACGGUACCGUAAGAAUAAGCACCGGCUAACUACGUGCCAGCAGCCGCGGUAAUACGUAGGGUGCGAGCGUUAAUCGGAAUUACUGGGCGUAAAGCGUGCGCAGGCGGUUAUAUAAGACAGUUGUGAAAUCCCCGGGCUCAACCUGGGAAUUGCAUCUGUGAC